CGGGCAGGCCGGGGUAGGGUGGGGCUGGGGGGCGCUUGUGACGGUAGCCGUGACCGCGGCACUAAGUGAUGCGUCCUUGAGGGGCUGGGGGCUGCCGGGUGGCGGGCGGGGCGCGGUAGGCGGCUCUUAGAGACCUCGGAGGCAGCCAGCCCAGCGAUGCGGCACUGGCAAGAACGCGAAGAGGUACUGAGAGUGAAGACAGCGAGAGGCGCGGUGUCGGAGGUGAGAGGGUCUCUUCCGCCUUGCGGCCGCUGGCCCCGCCUCCCGGUCCCUUGCCCCGCCCCUCUCGGCUCUCCGCCCUGCCUCCUGUAGGACACCGCCUGGCCCCACCCGCGCCUCGCCCCCAGGCGCCCUCUAGCGGCAGCGGCGAUGGCGAUAUCAGUUUCUUUUUCCAGGGCUUCCAGGUCUGAAGCUGUCUCCCGGCGGCCACGGAGUGUUCUCAUGUGGACUGGGCGGAGGAAGAACUCCGGUCCAGUGGAGUCCCUGGUGAGGUCGGAGCAUGCGACCUGUCCUCCCUCCCCAGGUCACCUCGCAGGAUUGAGGACAGUGCGGCCAGAUCGAGGGUGGAGUCUGCAGGAUUUUGAAACUGCAGCCCCUGGCAUGGCGCCCUAACAGAGCCUCUGCUCCUUGCCUGGUGACGACAACAGGAAGAAGGCCAACAACCCCAAACACUGCAGCUGCGUCAUAGAUCAGAUCUUCACUGGUGGGCUGCAGUUGGACGUCACCUGCCAAGUCUGCCAUGUCUCCACUACCAUAGACCCCUUCUGGGACAUCAGCUUGGAUCUGCCCAGCUGUUCCACCCCAUUCUGGCCCCUGAGCCCAGGGAGCAAGGGCAGCAUGGCGAACAAGGAAAGCCACGUGUCUGGGAAUCACCACAAUCAUGGACUGCCUCGAAGGUGAGAAGCCUGCCUGCACCCACAUGGAAGGGGCUCGUCUUCCUGGCAGGAAGGCUGUACUUGAUCAGAACCAAAAGAGGGCUUUUCUUUUACAUGCCCAGGACAGAGCCUGAGCAAAGAUGCAGCACUAGCCUGGGUUGGCUAGUUUGUCUUCUGUUUUGGCCAGUUUUGCACAGUGCCGGAUGUUGCUGUCAGCAGCUGAUAUUUCUGUUCCCCAGUUUUGCACAGUGCCGGAUGUUGCUGUCAGCAGCUGAUAUUCCAACCUCCUCAUGUAAAUGAGUUGAGGGCCAAACUGGAUGCUCCUUUAGCCUUUGUAGUAGACACCGACCCUGGAGUGUGAGCUGAGAAACGUCCAGCUCUCUCCCUGUGGUCCACAGCCUUCCCUACACGUGAUUAAAACUUAGUUGUGAUGUUCUGUGCUUAGGGCCAUUUUUGAAAUUGUUCAUUUACUGCUUUAUUUGGGAUAAGUAAUAAGAUUUAGGAAGCGUUUUUUUUUUUUUUAAUGUAUUUAAGUAGCCGUAGCAUACAAUUGUAAAAGGAGCAGAAAACCUUCCUAAACUUUGUCUAGUGUUUUAUAGUCCUUGUUUUAUUUGCAUUAAUUAAAGGUAAUACAGAAGAGUCCUUGUUGAGUGGAAGUAUUCCUUAGAAGAGGUAUAAGCUUUUGGUUUCUGU
rnacentral:lncRNA from 10 species